UCCAGACUCCUACGGGAGGCAGCAGUGAGGGAUAUUGCACAAUGGGGGAAACCCUGAUGCAGCAACGCCGCGUGAGUGAAGAAGGUCUUCGGAUUGUAAAGCUCUGUUCUUGGUGAAGAUAAUGACGGUAGCCAAGGAGAAAGCUCCGGCUAACUACGUGCCAGCAGCCGCGGUAAUACGUAGGGAGCGAGCGUUGUCCGGAUUUACUGGGUGUAAAGGGUGCGCAGGCGGCACGGCAAGCCGGCGGUCAAAUCGCGGGGCUCAACCCCGCCCAGCCGUCGGAACUGCCGGGCUAGAGUGGGCGAGAAGUGCGCGGAAUGCGUGGUGUAGCGGUGAAAUGCAUAGAUAUCACGCAGAACUCCGAUUGCGAAGGCAGCGCACCGGCGCCCUACUGACGCUCAGGCACGAAAGCGUGGGUAUCGAACAGGAUUAGAUACCCGUGUAC
rnacentral:rRNA from 1 species